UGCCUAAAGAAUAAAAAGGAAGGAAAGGAAAACCACCUAUACAAUUCAGAAACUUGCACAUUUAAAGCAUGAAUACCUGACGUGAAUAUAAAAGUCUCCCCAGUGAUGUGUUGACAGGCUGCAGUGAAACAUUGUUACAGGGAGCUGUCUUUGCUGUGCACUGUGCUGCUGCAGGACUCACAUCAGUGCAACUGAGAGAGAAAUGCAUGGUUCUAUUUAAGAUUUUUCUUCCUAUGCAUUUACAAUAAGUAAGCUGUAUUGGCUGGGCAUGGAAAUUGUCUUUUCUUUAAACUCAGUUAUAGAGCUGAAGGUCCAACCACUGAUGCCAGAAAAGCUGACAGCACUCCUGAGCCACUGCCCUUCUCCAGACAAAAACAAACGUAAUCACGGGGGCGGUCCCUGAUAUUCCCAGGUGGGAUGAACGCACCAUUUCUCCAGGGCGUCAACCAAUAGGAAAGAGUCCUCCGCCGGCUCGUAAACUUGUCGUUAGUCUCCUCUUCCUUUAACUGUCUAUACAGUAAACUGGUGUGGGAUAACUUGCAGACAUGUUCUCUUCAGUUACCAGACUCGCUAUCCACCUGCGCGUGCUCCUGGCUCACCAUUUAAUGAGUGCAGAGUAUUGUAUGUCAUGAGUUUUUUAAAUAAAAAAGUAAGUAAUAGUGGUAGUAUAUAUUAUGUACUCCACACUGUGCAUGCCAUAAAAGUGGACUUAAAACAUAUUUUUCGUCAACCCUAGUUUCUACUUUUCUCUAAGUUCCUUUUUCUCCUUCCAGACUUUGAAAAUGACAGCACCACAGAAGGAUGGAACCCUCAACCUCCAGUCUUCAUGAGAGUUUAACCGUCACCUUAGCUUGUUUCAAUCCUUCAAUCUCAGAUUAUUGAGUCAGUAAUUUAUCUCAGUGAGCUAUUCCUAAUUAAUCAAUUAAGUAAUCAAGAAAUUAACCAAUCAAUUAAUACAUUAAUCAAUCAAUUAACAGAUCAAUUAGCAGAUACAUCAAUCAACCAAUUAAUCAAUCAGUUUUAUUUGUCACAUGAAAUCAAUUAGUCUACAAGGACAAAGUGUGAACAACCAAUAAUAGAAUGGAAACUUGAAAUGUCAGCUUCAGGAGUAGCUCACUGAGAUCAGCUCCUGACUCAACAAUCUGAGGUUGAAGGAUCAAAUCCCACAUUUGUCUUGACAGUUUUUCAACCUCGCUCCUCUGAAAUGUGAACGAUAAAUACAACUUCCAACCAGUGCAGAGUAUCAGAUCAGAUAGCUCAGUGUGAUGGAACACUGUUUAGAGGACACACAGGUCAUGGGUUCAAUCACCCUGACUGACCAGGGUUUGUAUCCUG